rnacentral:rRNA from 1 species
GACGUAGGGCGCAAGCGUUGUCCGGAAUUAUUGGGCGUAAAGAGCUCGUAGGCGGCUUGUUGCGUCGACUGUGAAAACCCGUGGCUCAACCAUGUGGUCUGCAGUCGAUACGGGCAGGCUAGAAUUCGGUAGGGGAGACUGGAAUUCCUGGUGUAGCUGGUGAAAUGCGCAGAUAUCAGGAGGAACACCGGUGGCGAAGGCGGGUCUCUGGGCCGAUAUUGACGCUGAGGAGCGAAAGCGUGGGGAGCGAACAGG